rnacentral:rRNA from 1 species
GUGAAAAGCACCCCGGAAGGGGAGUGAAAUAGAUCCUGAAACCGUGUGCCUACAAGUAGUCAGAGCCCGUUAAAGGGUGAUGGCGUGCCUUUUGUAGAAUGAACCGGCGAGUUACGAUCCCGUGCAAGGUUAAGCAGAAGAUGCGGAGCCGCAGCGAAAGCGAGUCUGAAUAGGGCGCAUGAGUACGUGGUCGUAGACCCGAAACCAGGUGAUCUACCCAUGUCCAGGGUGAAGUUCAGGUAACACUGAAUGGAGGCCCGAACCCACGCACGUUGAAAAGUGCGGGGAUGAGGUGUGGGUAGGGGUGAAAUGCCAAUCGAACCUGGAGAUAGCUGGUUCUCUCCGAAAUAGCUUUAGGGCUA